rnacentral:rRNA from 1 species
GAUGAACGCUGGCGGCGUGCUUAACACAUGCAAGUCGAACGAGAAAUGGAGACGGACACCUUCGGGCGGAAGGCUUCAUUUCGAGUGGCGGACGGGUGAGUAACGCGUGGGUAACCUGCCUCAUACAGGGGGAUAACAGUUGGAAACGACUGUUAAUACCGCAUAAGACCACAGCACCGCAUGGUGCGGGGGUAAAAACUCCGGUGGUAUGAGAUGGACCCGCGUUCGAUUAGCCAGUUGGCGGGGUAACGGCCCACCAAAGCGACGAUCGAUAGCCGAUCUGAGAGGAUGGCCGGCCACAUUGGGACUGAGACACGGCCCAAACUCCUACGGGAGGCAGCAGUGGGGAAUAUUGCAAAAUGGGGGAAACCCUGAUGCAGCGACGCCGCGUGAGUGAAGAAGUACUUCGGUAUGUAAAGCCCUAUCAGCAGGGAAGAAAAUGACGGUACCUGGGGAAGAAGCCCCGGCUAACUACGUG